rnacentral:rRNA from 1 species
UACGUAGGGCGCAAGCGUUGUCCGGAAUUAUUGGGCGUAAAGAGCUCGUAGGCGGCUUAGUAAGUCGGGUGUGAAAACUCUAGGCUCAACCUAGAGACGCCACCCGAUACUGCUAUAGCUAGAAUCCAGUAGGGGAGUGUGGAAUUCCCAGUGUAGCGGUGAAAUGCGCAGAUAUUGGGAGGAACACCAGCGGCGAAGGCGGCACUCUGGGCUGGUAUUGACGCUGAGGAGCGAAAGCGUGGGUAGCGAACAGG